rnacentral:rRNA from 1 species
GACGAACGCUGGCGGCGUGCCUAAUACAUGCAAGUAGAACGCUGAAGAGAGGAGCUUGCUCUUCUUGGAUGAGUUGCGAACGGGUGAGUAACGCGUAGGUAACCUGCCUUGUAGCGGGGGAUAACUAUUGGAAACGAUAGCUAAUACCGCAUAACAAUGGAUGACACAUGUCAUUUAUUUGAAAGGGGCAAUUGCUCCACUACAAGAUGGACCUGCGUUGUAUUAGCUAGUAGGUGAGGUAACGGCUCACCUAGGCGACGAUACAUAGCCGGCCUGAGAGGGUGAUCGGCCACACUGGGACUGAGACACGGCCCAGACUCCUUCGGGGGGCAGCAGUAGGGAAUCUUCGGCAAUGGGGGCAACCCUGACCGAGCAACGCCGCGUGAGUGAAGAAAGUUUUCGGAUCGUAAAGCUCUGUUGUAUGUCAAGGACGAGUGUGAGAGUGGAAAGUUCACACUGUGACGGUAGCUUACCAGAAAGGGACGGCUAACUACGUG